UUUAAUGUUUGAUGUUCUAACGUGGACCCGUAAUCCGGGUUGCGGACAGUGUCUGGUGGGUAGUUUGACUGGGGCGGUCUCCUCCUAAAGAGUAACGGAGGAGCACGAAGGUUGGCUAAUCCUGGUCGGACAUCAGGAGGUUAGUGCAAUGGCAUAAGCCAGCUUGACUGCGAGCGUGACGGCGCGAGCAGGUGCGAAAGCAGGUCAUAGUGAUCCGGUGGUUCUGAAUGGAAGGGCCAUCGCUCAACGGAUAAAAGGUACUCCGGGGAUAACAGGCUGAUACCGCCCAAGAGUUCAUAUCGACGGCGGUGUUUGGCACCUCGAUGUCGGCUCAUCACAUCCUGGGGCUGAAGUAGGUCCCAAGGGUAUGGCUGUUCGCCAUUUAAAGUGGUACGCGAGCUGGGUUUAGAACGUCGUGAGACAGUUCGGUCCCUAUCUGCCGUGGGCGCUGGAGAACUGAGGGGGGCUGCUCCUAGUACGAGAGGACCGGAGUGGACGCAUCACUGGUGUUCGGGUUGUCAUGCCAAUGGCACUGCCCGGUAGCUAAAUGCGGAAGAGAUAAGUGCUGAAAGCAUCUAAGCACGAAACUUGCCCCGAGA
rnacentral:rRNA from 1 species